rnacentral:tRNA from 1 species
UCCCUGGUGGUCUAGUGGCUAAAAAUCAAUGCUUCCAAUGCAAAGGGCCCAGGUUCGGUCCCUGGUCAGGGAA